GGUCUGCCAACCCACAUCUCCCUCAUCAUAUAGCAGGCAGCAAUGUAGUGGUCUGCCAACCCACAUCUCUCUCAUCAUAUAGCAGGUAGCAAUGUAGUGGUCUGCCAACCCACAUCUCUCUCAUCAUAUAGCAGGCAGCAAUGUAGUGGUCUGCCAACCCACAUCUCUCUCAUCAUAUAGCAGGCAGCAAUGUAGUGGUCUGCCAACCCACAGCUCUCUCAUCAUAUAGCAGGCAGCAAUGUAGUGGUCUGCCAACCCACAGCUCUCUCAUCUCUCUCAUCAUAUAGCAGGCAGCAAUGUAGUGGUCUGCCAACCCACAUCUCUCUCAUCUCUCUCAUCAUAUAGCAGGCAGCAAUGUAGUGGUCUGCCAACCCACAUCUCUCUCAUCUCUCUCAUCAUAUAGCAGGCAGCAAUGUAGUGGUCUGCCAACCCACAUCUCUCUCAUCAUAUAGCAGGCAGCAAUGUAGUGGUCUGCCAACCCACAUCUCUCUCAUCUCCCUCAUCAUAUAGCAGGCAGCAAUGUAGUGGUCUGCCAACCCCCAGCUCUCUCAUCUCCCUCAUCAUAUAGCAGGCAGCAAUGUAGUGGUCUGCCAACCCACAGCUCUCUCAUCUCCCUCAUCAUAUAGCAGGCAGCAAUGUAGUGGUCUGCCAACCCACAGCUCUCUCAUCAUAUAGCAGGCAGCAAUGUAGUGGUCUGCCAACCCACAUCUCUCUCAUCAUAUAGCAGGCAGCAAUGUAGUGGUCUGCCAACCCAUCUCUCAUCUCUCUCAUCAUAUAGCAGGCAGCAAUGUAGUGGUCUGCCAACCCACAUCUCUCAUCAUAUAGCAGGCAGCAAUGUAGUGGUCUGCCAACCCACAGCUCUCUCAUCAUAUAGCAG
ensembl:lncRNA